ensembl:snoRNA
UGGUCUCUACCAAGGCUGCUAGGAAAAACUAUUUCUGGUAUGCUGUGGACGGGACCAGAAAGUAACGCCUCCAGAUUCUUGUGCCGCUACUCUGGUAGCAUCAAAUCUGUUGGAAACAGUU